rnacentral:rRNA from 1 species
GACAGAGGGUGCAAACGUUGCUCGGAAUCACUGGGCGUAAAGCGUGCGCAGGCGGUUAUGUAAGACAGAUGUGAAAUGCCCGGGCUUAACCUGGGAACUGCAUUUGUGACUGCAUGGCUAGAGUUUGGCAGAGGGGGGUAGAAUUCCACGUGUAGCAGUGAAAUGCGUAGAUAUGUGGAGGAACACCGAUGGCGAAGGCAGCCCCCUGGGUCAAGACUGACGCUCAUGCACGAAAGCGUGGGGAGCAAACAGG